GUAAAACUAUUAUUAUUGUAUUAAUUCCACAUAUAAUUUGGGAAUUCCACAAUAUAUUAUUAUUCACUUAUUUCACAAAAAUAAAACAUGAUCCUUCUCUUUAAAAUAAAACAUAAAACAUAGCUUAAAAAAAAAUUGAUGAAAAAAAAAAAACUUAAAAAGAAAAAAAAAAUCCCCAAGUACUUCCCUCGACACCUUCAUCUCCUCCCACAGCCAUUGUCCUCUCAGAUCUAUUCCUCCACCAUCCCCACCGCUAUAUGAGGCUGAACCAUCUUUUAUCUCCACCCCUCUUCUCCCCUCAAUAUCUUCGUCUACCUUUUGUUCUCAAAACCUAAACCCAUCUCAUACCCAAACAUGAUGUUACCUCCCGAUACCCUAACAUUGGAGUAGAAUCCUCCGAUUGAACCCAUCUCUCUCCACGAGCCAACGUCUUGGAGCGUUAUUGUGAUGGGCCUAUAAUAUCGGUUCGGCCCGUCCGUACAAGAAGGCCUAAUCUACGUUACUUGGAUUAGAAGCUAAUGGUUUUGGUGUUUUAUGUUUUUGGUUUUGAUUUAGGUUCUUUGGGAUAAUUAUUCUUUAGGAUUGGUGUUAUCUCUUUUAAUCUCUCCUUAUCCUCAUAGGACUCAAUAGUUCUAGUUCUUGUAAUGUUUUACUAUAUAUAUUAAAGAAAAGCCAAAAAGAGGUAGUCAUAACUACCCAUUAAAC
rnacentral:lncRNA from 1 species